UUACCUACGGGAGGCAGCAGUGGGGAAUAUUGGGCAAUGGAGGAAACUCUUACCCAGCAAUGCCGCGUGAAUGAAGAAGGUCUUCGGAUUGUAAAGUUCUUUAAUUGGGGACGAAAAAAAUGACGGUACCCAAGGAAUAAGCCCCGGCUAACUACGUGCCAGCAGCCGCGGUAAUACGUAGGGGGCAAGCGUUACCCGGAUUUACUGGGUGUAAAGGGCGUGUAGGCGGGACUGCAAGUCAGAUGUGAAAACCACGGGCUCAACCUGUGGCCUGCAUUUGAAACUGUAGUUCUUGAGUACUGGAG
rnacentral:rRNA from 1 species